CCCGCCUCCAUGUCUUUCUCUUUCUCUCUAGUUUCCCUUCCAUUUCUCUUUCUCUAUUUUCUUUCCAUCUCUCUCUUUAACCCACUUGCUCAUUCACCACACUCUCUCUGGGUUCCUCUCUUGCCAUUAUACAUGUGUCUGAGUCUCUCUCUCUCUCUGGCUUACAUCCAUUUUCUAUCUCACUUCUAAUGAGAAGCUGUAAGCACCAUCUCCCCAACAGCCCUUAAUAACAGUGAUGAUACUAAAAAUCUCUGCCAUAUCAGAAUGUCCCAGUCACCACCUUGUCUCACCAGUAAGUUUAAACUUAAUGUCCAUAUCAAGCAACCUUGAAUCCAUGUCAGUCAGAGCCGUGUUCAUGUCCUCACAUAAGAUAACGGCUUCAGUUUGCUCCCUCUGCUCAGCUUAUACCCUGACCAUAAGUUGACCGUCCCACCCUUGCUAGUUUGAGAAUGGUUUGCAUGGGCCUCCUGGGAGAUCAAUACUAUCCUGCAGGCAUGUUGGACUGAGUGGGCUGUGCUGUAACAAUACUGUGAGAGCAGAGCAUGUGUGAAUGAGUGACCGCUCAUCAGUAAAUACAACCCAUACUGACUGGCUGUGUUUGACCUGACUUAACCCCUCAACCUGGUCAUCAUAUGCUCUCUGUGGUGGUCAAACUGUCUCACACUCAAACAUUAUCACCAGGGUUUCAGACAGCGUUUUACACACUCCCGGGGUCUUUGAUUGUGUGCCCCCUGCUACACUAACAAAAAUAACCAGAAACUGAAUUAAAUUAAAUCUAUCUGGUCUGUUAAUUUGUGAUGACCGUAGCACAGAGGGGAAUUGGGUUGGCUUGCCUACAACUCCCAUCUAUUAAAUAUACUAUGCCUAUGUCAGCCAUUGCCUUCACCAUUACCCACUAGUGUCUCAAACUAAAUAAGCAUCCAGCCUUAAUACUUGCCCUUUACCUAUCCUGGCCAUUCAGAUAAUGGGGAGGAAACAAUGGAAGGAAGCCUCUUUAGACUAUUGAGAUGCACCCUGAGAGGAAUUCACACACCCAAUGCACAGCAGUGUGAGUCAGAGUUUCUGUCUGAGCUCCGCACAGCACAGCAUUGUGAGUCAGCGUUUCUGUCUGAGCUCCGCACAGCAUUGUGAGUCAGCGUUUCUGUCUGAGCUCCGCACAGCACAGCAUUGUGAGUCAGCGUUUCUGUCUGAGCUCCACACAGCACAGAAGUGUGAGUCAGCGUUUCUGUCUGAGCUCCACACAGCACAGAAGUGUGAGUCAGUGUUUCUGUCUGAGCUCCACACAGCACAGAAGUGUGAGUCAGCGUUUCUGUCUGAGCUCCACACAGCACAGCAGGCUUAGUGUAGUAGUAGGACAUGGCAUUUCAAUGUGGCAUUCAACCUUAGAUUCACAAGCGUGUUAUGUUUCAAUGGGACAUUUCGGCAUCAACCCACAAGCUCCUUAAACGGAACAAUUUAGUCUGUUCUGUGCAGACCAAAAUAAUGUGAGAGCUGCCUUGCUCUUUUGUGACAAUACUUGUGGGAAAAAUGUAUGAUUUCGACCUACAUACUAUAGCUGCCACACAUGGUUGGAAUGCUGCCUCGUAAUAACUAGCCUGUGGUCCAGACUGAGGCCCAGGGGAAGGACAGUUAGAGUGUAGAAGACAGUAAAUCACCUGUCUUUCACUUAUACGUCUGCUAUACACUUGUCAGCCGAGCUUGUCUUUCUUCUUCAUAUAGCAUAACUACUAGCCUGGUCCCAGAUCUGCUUGUGUGAUCAUGCCACUGCUUGUCACUCAUUUUGCAUGACAAGGAGUGGAAUGAUAUCUCAAACCGACUGGUACCCGGGCUACAUAACUACUGCUUGUGCUAUCCCUUUCUCCAUUUUUCUUCUCUUUUCAUCACCCCCGACAUAUCUCCCUCUCUCUCACUUACCCAGUUUUUUUCAGCUCCUGUUCUUAAGAACCCUGCCUGGUAGGUCUCCUGUCUCUUAUGUUGGUAGUACUGUCUGUCUUAUCCUAUCCCUAACAAAUUUUAGAGAAAGUCCCACUGAAUUUCUGAAUGUGUACUGAACAUAAGUUGAAUUGAUAGCCUCUCACUUGCUGACAUCUUCCCAGACCAGGGUCCGGUUUCCCAAAAGCAUCUUAAAGCUAAGUUUGUUAGAACCUUUGUUAAACCAUUAUUAAAUCUCAGAGCUGUUUCCCAAAACCUUUGUUAUUAACGUUACACUUGUAAUCUAACGCCUGUCUCAGACCACUCUCAGAACCGCUAAGUGGGUCGUUAGAUGCUUUUUUUUGCCCUCCCGCGUCACUUUACACACAGAAGAGCUCCGCUAAACAUAGAAUCACACUUUGCAUCCGCAUCUGUGACCGCUGAAAACUUCCCAACAAAGUGGACAACAAAUACAAAAUUGACAAUGUCUUUGCAAUUGAUACAAACAAGCAGCUUGGUGUAAAUAUAAAUUUAUCAUCACAAUCAUUUAUGGAGUUCUAUUUUGCUACUUGUCUGUAUAUAUUUCAUGCCUAAUAUGUGCAAUGAUGUGCCAAAUCUUGAUUAUCACAUGUUUUAUAUAACCAGGCAAGUCAGUUAAGAACAAAUUCUUAUUUACAAUGACGGCCUUGUUCAGGGGCAGAACGACAGAUUUUUACCUUGUCAUUUGUCAUCUCUGGGAUUCGAUCCAGCAACCUUUCAGUUACUGGCCCAACGCUCUAACCACUAGGCUACCUGCCGCCCCUAAUGUUAAGUUAAGAUUUGAAUGGAGAAAGCUGAUCCGAGAGCAGCGUUGCCUUUCUUUCAAUACUAUCAGUAUGGACACAAGCCUCAACGACACACGAACGUUCUCUCUGUGCGGUGUUUUUGGAAACAUGUUACAUCUUUGGCCGUUAUAGGAAAGAUGCAUCGUUAAAACACUCGUAAGCCUAAGUUCAAUCGCUAUCAGGAAACCGGGCCCAGGUCAACAGGCCCUUAGCCCUUCCAGUUCUGUUGCUGUAUCUAGCCUACCUGACAGCCAACUAACCCCUCGUACUAUGGCUAUCCCAGACACAGCCGCUCCCACAGCCUGACACGUACUAAUGAACGAUACUGCUUAUUUAUCAACAUGAUCUGAUUUCAACAACUUUUCACAAUCCAUGAAGUCUCUUCUUCAGGGAGACAAAGAUGCUUAUGAUUUUCCACUGGCUUCGUAGUGCUCCAACAUAACACUGCAACCCUUUCAAAUGUGCCAUUUUGUCCCCGUCGAUCAGAACAGCCUUCUCUAAAUCAACUGCACUAAGUGCCCAGUGAUCAAUCUACCGAGGGAUACCUGCCCCUUGCCCUCUGCAGUAGCCUUGCCCUCACAGUCCCAGCCAUGUACCAUACACAGUGUUGUUGCUUUGCCUCUGAACAUGUUGCUGUCUUGACUCCGCAUUUGAUCCCCACCAGGUUGACUCAGGAUUGUGACUCAGAUCGAGUAACCUAGAGAGUGGACCUAGAGAGCGGAGAGAAAGGCUGGACAAAAAAAAAAGUCUGGUCUGGCCUUUCACUCUGUCCGUACGAUCUGCAGUGUGUGCUCACCUCAGUCGCUCUCUCUCUCGUCAGUCUGGCCCGAUGCCCAAGUUCAAAACAGACCGACUCGUGUGUCAGGAAAAAACAUCCUCUCACACACACUGAGAGGGAGAGAACGAACACUAAACGCUCAAACCACACAAACCAAAAAAAGAGAGCUUUGGUCAAAGGGGAAUAGAGAGAGGUCUCUCUACCUGUCUCUCUCUACCCCUCCCUCUCUCCCUCCCUCCCUCUCUUGGUCUGUCGUUCAGCAGAAAAACGGAUCGAUAAAGAGUUGAAGCUCUUCGCACCAAGUGACUCCUCGUAAAUGGGUACUUUUCUGUGGGGUGAAUGGAGAAUCUAACCAACUCCUUGUUUUAAAGGGAGAAAAUGAAAGUUGUGCCUCCUAAUGUUCUGUCUAAAUGGAUCUAUCUGUCUCUGAUGAAGUGUAAAGGACUCUGUAACCUUAACAAAAUCACUAUGUUCCCAUUGUUUUUAAGGGCCUUCCUUUCCUGGUGCUCUCAGCAAGUCCAUUUUUCACAAGUAGGUAGGAAGGAGCAGUCAUUUAGAAGUAUGGGGACAUUGUGUAGUAGGUGUUGACGUCACAGUCCCCACACAGUAUAUGACCCAUGUCGCUAGACUUGUACAUUGCAAAAGUGCACAAUUGUUAGUUUUACUCAGUUUAUUAUUUAUCUGACAUGUUUUACCAUAUCGACAAUUGACAGGGGUAUUAUGUAGUCCUGGUAACUUUCAGAUGUUAUUAGCUUGAAGCUGACUUUCAGUUUCCUCUCAGAGCAGUACUGUGCCUUGUUAGCUGCACAUCCUGUUUUAGCUGAUUUGACACCCUGCUGGCAGGGAGAGAUAAAUGUAUCCCCUAGAGCAGGGUUUCCCAAACUGGGUCCUGGGGCCCCCCCUGGGUGCACAUUUAGGUUUUUGCCCUAGUGCUACACAGCUGACUCAAAUAAUCAGCUAAUCAUCCAGUUUUGAUUAUUUGUAUCAGCUGUAUAGUGCUUGGUCAAAAACCAAAACGUGCACCCCUUAGGGUCCCCUGGAUCGAGUUUGGAAACACUGCCUUAGGGACAAACCAUGUAUUUUCUGAUACGAAAUGCCCCCAAAUUGACAAUGUAUUUCCUGAAAUGGUCCAUGAUUUUACAUGCAGAAACAUCUCCCCAGAGUAACAAUGUGGAGAUGUUGGUGAGACAUUGGAGUAGUGAUGAGAGAAGGCAACUCUUCAAUUAUUUUUCACAACAUGUCAGAUUAUGGGGCUGUGUGCAUUUAGUCUUAUUUUCGGGACUGUAUGAGUCUUACUGUUCUCUAUCAACCUCAUUGACAAAUGUCCUAAGAGCUGCUGUAUCAAUAGAGACAGAAAUGUUCCUUGUACCAUAACUUUGCCUCCUGGAAGAAAAAAUAAUAAUUCCAAACA